CUUUGACCACGUUGGCAAGAGGCCAAUACAAUAGCUGGCGCUCUGUUCCUCCAAUUCUCUCUCUAUCGCUAGCUCUGUCUUCCUCCCCCUCUCUCUCGCUGCCACUCACGCACGGUCUCACCCUAGCAGAGUGGUCCCAGACUCCCAUUGCCGGCGAGCAGUGGAGGGAGAUGGCCGGCGCGUGGAUCGGGAGCUCAUCCCCUUCGGCAAUGGGGGCCUAAAACAGGUCCACUGCCGACACCCCUGCCCAAUUUCUCCCUGGGUGCCGCCAGCCACCUUCCCCCUUCGUGUUUCUAGAUCGAGUUCGUGCUGCUCUGUUUGACUUCAUUUUCGCAUCACCUGAAGCAACUACAGUAAGGAGGGGAGGGGAUUCUAGUGUUGUAAGGUGAGUACUCGAUUCCUGAAUAUCUAGGGACUCCGGGUUCAGCGUGUCCGGCGCCAGCUCGUCGUUCCUGUCGUCGGUGACGACCGGCGACGGGAGCGUGUCGAACAGGUGCGGCGGCGGCAGGUCGUCAUCGCCGCUGAUGCUCCCGCCGCCGCAGGCGCGGCCAGCUGCGGGAAGCCGUCGCUGUCGUCGUCCGGCGCCGGACAGAAGCGUAGGUGCCACGAGCACGCGCACUCGGAGAACGUCUCCGGCGGCAAGUACGGGGCCACCAGCGGCCGAUGCCACUGCUCCAAGCGCAGGAAGCACCGGGUGAAGCGAACGAUCCGCGUGCCGGCGAUUAGCCCGAAGGUGUCGGACAUCCCCACCGACGAGUACUCGUGGCGCAAGUAUGUGCAGAAGCCCAUCAAGGGAUCAUCAUAGAGAGCUCAGAGAAACAGAGAGAGGGGGGGAGAAAAGAAGCCACCGACAGAGAGAGAAAGAGCAGUCUAUUAAUGGCUCCCCUUACCAACGUGGAGUCCAGGUGGACCAAAACCAGCUUGGUUUGGGCGGAAGGGGUGUUUGUGCCUGGUUUCAAGAGAUUGAGGUUGUAAUUUACCCGGUUUCAAAUUUCAGGGUUGAGUUUUAGACUUUCUGCAGAGUUUGAGGGGGGUAAUGUGGACUUUUUCCAAAAAUACGUUUGUAUUGCGAUUGCUUCUUCUGGUUCCUAUUGGCUU